UACGUAGGGCGCAAGCGUUGUCCGGAAUUAUUGGGCGUAAAGAGCUCGUAGGUGGUUUGUCGCGUUGUUCGUGAAAUCUCACGGCUUAACCCUGGCCUUGCAGUGGAUACGGGCAGACUAGAGGUAGGUAGGGGAGAAUGGAAUUCCCGGUGUAGCGGUGAAAUGCGCAGAUAUCGGGAGGAACACCGGUGGCGAAGGCGGUUCUCUGGGCCUUACCUGACGCUGAGGAGCGAAAGCGUGGGGAGCGAACAGG
rnacentral:rRNA from 1 species